rnacentral:rRNA from 1 species
UACAGAGGGUGCAAGCGUUGUUCGGAAUUAUUGGGCGUAAAGGGCGCGUAGGCGGUGCGGUAAGUCUGUAGUGAAAUCUCUGGGCUCAACUCAGAGUCUGCUGCAGAAACUGCCGUGCUUGAGUGUGGGAGAGGUGAGUGGAAUUCCCGGUGUAGCGGUGAAAUGCGUAGAUAUCGGGAAGGAACACCUGUGGCGAAAGCGGCUCACUGGACCACUACUGACGCUGAUGCACGAAAGCUAGGGGGAGCAAACAGG